rnacentral:rRNA from 1 species
GUCCCAGACUCCUACGGGAGGCAGCAGUGAGGAAUAUUGGUCAAUGGGCGAGAGCCUGAACCAGCCAAGUCGCGUGAAGGAUGACGGCCCUACGGGUUGUAAACUUCUUUUGUCAGGGAGCAAUUGGGUCCACGCGUGGGCUUAGCGAGAGUACCUGAAGAAAAAGCAUCGGCUAACUCCGUGCCAGCAGCCGCGGUAAUACGGAGGAUGCGAGCGUUGUCCGGAAUUACUGGGUGUAAAGGGAGCGUAGGCGGGGAUGCAAGUUGGGUGUUAAAUCUACCGGCUCAACUGGUAGUCGCACUCAAAACUGCAGCUCUUGAGUGAAGUAGAGGCAGGCGGAAUUCCUAGUGUAGCGGUGAAAUGCGUAGAUAUUAGGAGGAACACCAGUGGCGAAGGCGGCCUGCUGGGCUUUUACUGACGCUGAGGCUCGAAAGUGUGGGGAGCAAACAGGAUUAGAUACCCGAGUACC